rnacentral:lncRNA from 1 species
CAAAAUAAGCACAUUGAAAUAAAUUUGCUAAUUCAUUUUCACUGGCUGAGAUAGGUCAAAAAAUCAGAAAAACAAAAUUGGAGGCUGGGCGUGGUGGCUCACACCUGUAAUCUCAGCACUUUGGGAGGCCAAGGUAGGCGGAUCAUGAGGUCAGGAGAUCAAGACCAUCCUGGCUAACACAGUGAAACCCCGUCUCUACUAAAAAUACAAAAAAAUUAGCUAGGCGUGGUGGCGGGUGACUGUAGUCCCAGCUACUUGGGAAGCUGUGGCAGGAGAAUGGUGUGAACCCGGAAGGUGCAGCUUGCAGUGAGCCAAGAUAGCACCACCGCACUCCAGCCUGGGUGACAGAGUGAGACUCCAUCUCAAAAAAAAAAAAAAAAAUUUGGAAAAAUAUUUCUAUCUUUCUGUAUUAGUCAGGCUACAUGGGGUUCAGGGACCCACUUGAGGAGGUAGUCUGUCCAUUAUUGGAGCUGGAACACCAUGCUGGGAGAACCACUGCUCUCUUCAGAGCUGUCAGGCAGGGACAUUUAAGUCUGGAGAAGCUGUUUGCUGCCUUUUGUUCAGAUAUGCCCUGCCCACAGAGGUGGAGUCUAUAAAGGCAGUAGGCCUUGCUGAGCUGCAGUGGGCUCCACCCAGUUCAAGUUUCCCUGCUGCUUUGUUUACACUGUGAGCAUAGAACCACCUACUCAAGCCUCAGCAAUGGUGGAUGCUCCUCCCCCCGCCAAGCUGCUGCAUCCCAGGUCCAUCUCAGACUGCUGUGCUAGCAGCAAGCAAGGC